AAGUCGUAACAAGGUUUCCGUAGGUGAACCUGCGGAAGGAUCAUUACUGAGUAAAUUGGGUCUCUAUGGCCCAUACUCCCACCCUUUUGUGUACCUUACCAAUUAUUAAGUUGCCUUGGUAGGAACCUACUCCCCUCCCUCUAACGAGGGAGCAGCAGUAGGCCUACCAUUGGAACUCUUUCAAAACUCUUUUAUGAAUUGAGUCGUCUGAGAAUAAAUUCAAAUGAAUUAAAACUUUCAACAACGGAUCUCUUGGUUCUG
rnacentral:misc_RNA from 1 species